AUGGCGGUGGUGCUGGACUCGUACGUGAAGCGGUGCGCGGCGGCGCUGGAGGAGUUCGCGGGGCAGGAGGCCUGCGGCGCGCUCGGCAUCCGGGACAACGUGCGGGGCCUGCUGGGCACGCUGGCGCGCAUCGACGCCGUCGUCUCCCACGAGGAGCGCCGCCGGGUGCUCAGCUCCCGGGUGGACGCCUGGGUGGUGCUGCUCAAGGACGUCAUGUACGAGGUCGACGACGUGCUCGACGUCUGCGCCGCCGAGGGCGCCAAGAUCCUCGCCGACGACCACCCGCCCGCCCCCAAGGUGCGCUGCGCCUUCAUGUUCUCCUGCUUCCGCUACUCGGGCCCCCAGAAGUUCCACCACGAGAUCGGCUUCACCAUCCGGGACAUCGACAUCCGGCUCCGUGAGAUCGAGGACGAGAUGCCGCCGCUCCCCGCCGCCGGGGCGUCCCCGCGCCCCGGCGCCAGGAGGGAUUGGUUCAAUAGUGAAAUGUCCAGGAGCUGCCACGACGACGUGGUGAAGCCUCGCUCCGCAGUGGGGACGCAGGUCCAGAAGUCUCUGGGCGGCCUCGUGCCGAGGUUGCUCAGGGAGGGCAAGAAGAAGGUGGACGUCUUCGCCAUCGUCGGCGCCGUGGGGAUAGGCAAGACCACGCUUGCCAGGGAGAUAUUCACCGAUGAGAGGAUGACUGAAAACUUCCCCAUCUGCGUGUGGGUGAAGAUGUCGAAGGAUCUGUCCGAGGCAGCUUUCUUGAAGAAGAUCAUCGCCGGCGCCGGUGUAAAUGCUGGGGACACAGAGAACAAGGAGGAGCUCCUCGGCCUCCUCAGCUCUGCUCUUUCAAAGAGGUUUCUCAUCGUCUUGGAUGACCUGGACAGCCCGGGCAUAUGGGACGAUCUGCUGAAAGAUCCACUGGGAGACGGCGUGGCAAGGGGCAGAAUACUGGUCACGACACGGGACGAGGAAGUGGCGGCAGGCUUGAAGGCAGUCGUCCACCGCGUCGACAAAAUGGAUGCAGAGAACAGCUGGGCGUUACUGCGCGAGCAGGUCUUCCUGGAAUCCGCUUCAGAGGAGAUCCAAGCACUGCAGGAUGUCGGGAUGAAGAUCGCGGAGAAAUGCGAGGGCCAUCCUCUGGCUAUCAAGGUCAUUGCAGGUGUCCUGAGGUCGAGAGGCACGAGCAAGGAUGAGUGGCAGAUGGUCCUGAAAAGCGAUGCUUGGUCCAUGCGGCCGUUGCUUCAACAGGUGCCACAGGCUCUCUACUUGAGCUAUGUUGAUCUGCCUUCUGAACUCAAGGAGUGCUUCCUCCAUUCCUCUCUGUACCCAGAAGACUGCCCCAUUCGGCGCUUUGAUCUCGUGCGGCACUGGAUUGCCGAAGGCCUUGUCAAGCCCAGAGAGAACAAGGAACUGGAAGAGUCUGCUGAAGAGUACUAUCUGGAGUUGAUAGGCAGAAACUUGUUACAGCCUGAUCCUGACAAUCUUGACCAGUGCUGGAUGACACAUGAUCUCCUACGCUCUCUGGCCCGCUUUCUGAUAACAGAUGAGAGUAUCUUAAUUGACGGUCAGGAGAGAUCGAGCAUGGGCUCGUUGUCCUCACUGUCAAAGCCUCGGCAUCUUGCAUUGUGUAACAUGGAGAACAGCUUGGAGGAUCCGAUUUCAGUGAAGCAGCAGAUGAGCCUAAGGUCACUGAUGCUCUUCAACAGCCCGAAUGUCAGAGUGAUAGACAAUCUUCUUCUCGAGUCAGCCACGUGCUUGCGUGUCUUGGACCUGAGCAACACAGCAAUAGAGGCUCUCCCAAAAUCCGUUGGCACCUUGCGACAUCUGAGGUACCUCAAUCUUGACGGGACUCAGCUCAGCGACCUACCCUCCUCCGUCGGCUUUCUCGUAAAUUUGCAGACCUUGAGCCUUGAAGGCUGUCAAAGACUGCAGAAACUCCCUUGGUCCAUCAGUGAAUUGCAAGAGCUUAGAUGCCUUUGCCUCGAGGGAACUUCCCUACGCUAUGUACCGAAAGGUGUGGGUGAACUGAAGCAUCUUAACCAUCUAUCUGGUCUGAUCAUUGGUCAGGACAACAAUGAUCCUGAGGGCUGUGACUUGAUUCACCUUAGAGCCAUGUCUGAAUUGAGGUACCUUCAGAUUGAGAGACUUGAUAGGGCUACUUCCGGAGCUUCUGCACUCGCAAACAAGCCAUUCCUGAAGGUUCUACACCUGUCUGAGCAAGCAGCAUUAAUUGAAGAAGAAGAGAAUGAGGAAGAACAGGAGAACCAAGAGGGCGCAGAGAAAGAAGAAAAGGACAAACAUGAAGUAAAAAGUGCUCAGUGGAUUAGAGAUGAUUCAGCUAAAGUGAGUGAAAAGAUAUGGAAUGAGCUCACCCCACCCAAUAGCGUUGAGAAGCUGGUAAUCAAGAACUACCAAGGUCGAAAGUUUCCAAACUGGAUGGCGGGUCCCAAGCUAAACACCUCCUUCCCUGCCCUUGCCUUCCUUGAUCUUGACAACUGCAUGUCAUGCACCACUCUGCCUGCUCUUGGCCGCCUGAAACAGCUUAAGUCCCUGGAAAUCUCAAAUGCAGACUCCAUUGUCGCCAUCGGUUCUGAAUUCCUCGGCACCACUGUGAUUUCACAAGCCAUCUCGUUCCCCAAGCUUGAGGUUUUGAAGCUAAGAAACAUGAAGAAUCUGGAAGACUGGUCCUUAAGUGUGGAAGAGAGCCAGACAUUGCUGCCUUGUCUUAAGUCACUGCACAUACAGUUCUGCCCUAAACUCAAAGCUCUGCCAGAAGGUCUAAAGGACGCUGCUCUGUGUGACCUUCAUGUCGAGGGUGCACAUUGCCUUACAGAGAUAAAGGACCUGCCAAAACUAUCUGAUGAACUCUAUCUGAAAGAUAACAGGGCGCUUCUGAGGAUCUCCAACCUACCCGCACUCAAGUCACUCACCAUCGACGACUGCGCGAAGCUGAAGCACGUGUCGGGCCUCGACAUGCUGCAGCAUCUCAGGCUUGUGUUCCCCCCAUCCACGGAGACAUACUAUUUCGAGGAGUUGGUCAUCUUCUGGAACAUCGCAUUCCCACGGUGGCUGGAGCUGCUGAUCCGUUUGCAGGCCAAUGGCCUGCGUCGAUUCGAGCUGCAGUGUGCACUCCCUUUACUCAGGAGCUGCCUGGAGGGUGGGAAGAACUGGCACGUUGUGCAGCAGAUCCCUGAGGUGCGCAUCACAAGCACCGAUGGCAAGAAGUACAUAAGGUACAACAAGGCCCGUCGCAUCUACGAGACAAAUGCUCAGUGUGAAGAGAAGUCUACCUAA
rnacentral:rRNA from 1 species